rnacentral:rRNA from 1 species
AUACGAAGGGUGCAAGCGUUGUUCGGAUUUAUUGGGCGUAAAGAGCGCGCAGGCGGAUUUUUAAGUCAGGUGUGAAAUCUCGAGGCCUAACCUCGAAACUGCGCCUGAAACUGGAGAUCUAGAAUUCCAGAGGGGGAAGGGGAAUUUCUCAUGUAGGGGUAAAAUCCGUAGAGAUGAGAAGGAACACCAGUGGCGAAGGCGCCUUCCUGGAUGGAUAUUGACGCUGAGGCGCGAAAGCGUGGGGAGCAAACAGGAUUAGAUACCCUGGUAGUCCACGCCGUAAACGAUGAGCACUAGUUAUGGUGGACAUUAACCUCUGCCGUGACAAAGCUAACGCAUUAAGUGCUCCGCCUGGGGAGUACGGUCGCAAGACUAAA